rnacentral:rRNA from 1 species
CCUACGGGCGGCAGCAGUGGGGAAUAUUGGGCAAUGGGCGCAAGCCUGACCCAGCAACGCCGCGUGAAGGAAGAAGGCUCUCGGGUUGUAAACUUCUUUUCUCAGGGACGAAGCAAGUGACGGUACCUGAGGAAUAAGCCACGGCUAACUACGUGCCAGCAGCCGCGGCAAUACGUAGGUGGCAAGCGUUAUCCGGAUUUACUGGGUGUAAAGGGCGUGUAGGCGGGAACGGAAGUCAGAUGUGAAAACCAUGGGCUCAACCUGUGGCCUGCAUUUGAAACUGUUUUUCUUGAGUACUGGAGAGGCAGACGGAAUUCUUAGUGUAGCGGUGAAAUGCGUAGAUAUUAGGAGGAACACCAGUGGCGAAGGCGGUCUGCUGGACAGCAACUGACGCUGAGGCGCGAAAGCGUGGGGAGCAAACAGGAUUAGAUACCCUAGUAGUC